GGAGGGUUGUGCCGAAUGGUAAGGCGACGGCCUGCUAAGCCGUGCUCCCGUUUUAGGGAGCUUGCGGGUUCGAGUCCCGCACCCUCCG
rnacentral:tRNA from 1 species